AGAGUUUGAUCCUGGCUCAGGAUGAACGCUGGCGGCGUGGAUAAGGCAUGCAAGUCGUGCGCCCCAUGAGAUGUCGCGCAAGCGCUAUCUCACGGGGAGCGGCAAACGGGUUAGUAACACGUAGAUACUAACCCCAUUCACGGGCAUAACCAGUCGAAAGAUUGGCUAAUUCCCGAUGGUCUCGGUCCGCAAGGACCAGAGUAAAGGCGCAAGCCGGAAUGGGAUAGGUCUGCGGCCUAUCAGCUAGUUGGUGAGGUAAUGGCUCACCAAGGCGAUGACGGGUAGGCGGUGUGAGAACAUGACCGCCAACAGGGGUACUGAGAUACGGGCCCCACUCCUACGGGAGGCAGCAGUCGCGAAUAUUCGACAAUGGGCGAAAGCCUGAUCGAGCGACGCCGCGUGCUCGAAGAAGUCCUUCGGGAUGUAAAGAGCUUUUAUCCGUGAUGAAUCCCGCUUUUAGCGGGAUGACAGUAACGGAUGAAUAAGGGGUGUCAAAACUCGUGCCAGCUGAAGCGGUAAUACGAGUACCCCAAGCGUUAUCCGGAUUUAUUGGGCGUAAAGCGUCUGUAGGCGGUCUGAAAAGUCUUCGGUUAAAUACCUAGGGCUUAACCCUAGGGCUGCUGGAGAUACUUUCAGACUUGAGGGCGUUAGGAGCUGGUGGAACGGUCGGUGUAGGGGUGAAAUCCGUUGAUAUCGACCGGAAUACUCAAAGCGAAGGCAUCCAGCUAGGGCGGCCCUGACGCUGAGAGACGAAAGCGUGGGGAGCAAAAAGGAUUAGAUACCCUGGUAGUCC
rnacentral:rRNA from 1 species